GUUUGUGGGUCCUUUCUCGGCCCUUUAUAUACGUAAGUAUAUAAGUUAUUAUUCCAUAAAUUGCUGGAAUAUCUUUAAGCUAAAGACAAUCAGCAGGGAAUCUUUUUUAAAGUACCUUCAGAGACUAAAAAUGGAAUACCUUAUUACAUCGUUACUCGAUUGUAAGGGUAAAGAUAUAGUCCAAUGCUUUCUGAGAAUAAAGC
rnacentral:ncRNA from 1 species